UUCCUGUUGUGGGGGGAUGACGUCCAGGGCAAACUCACCUACAGCGUGAGGAACCACAUCAGCAGCACACACACCUCAGCUGUGCUGUGUGGACUCUGCUCUGUUAUUUCUCCAGUGUUCAUCAGUGUGUGGCUGGCAGAGAUCAUCAUACUCACAUCACUGCUGGUGGGAGGGUAUUACCUCUACAUAAGAAACAAGAGAACACACACUCCAGAUGAGUGUAAGGACCAGGAAGUGGAUCUCACUCCGACCUCUAUGAGCCGCAGGAGGAAGAGGACACCAGAAGAGGUGCAGAUGCAGUGACUCCCCAUUGGCUCAGAGGGUGUCCAGCACCAGAAUACUGUGACAUCACAGACAUGUCCCUGAAAAAGCUUUUGUAUUUUUUUUAUUUACACUUUCACCCUUCUACCCUAGUGUAGGCUAUGUAGUACACACACACUCACUCUCUCUCUCUCCGUCUCUCUCUCUCUCACACAAACACACACACACAAACAUGUGUAAGAUGUAGUGAAGGUGUUUCUGUGUUUCUCAUUUCCUCAG
ensembl:lncRNA